rfam:Ktedonobacter racemifer DSM 44963 strain SOSP1-21 Krac_Contig206, whole genome shotgun sequence.
GUCAGGUACCCCAUGUCUAAAGGCAGGGGCUUGUGAAAGCGAGUCUGGACCUGACCAGACUCAGCCAGAGCUGAUGGAUACAAUCAUCAAAGCUAUCGGGCUACGAUAGAGGUAAAGUGUUCAAGUUCCUACCUACGGGUGCGUGCCAGCCUGUAGCUCUAGAAUUCCUGGGUUAAACGGCAAAACGGGGUUUUAUGCAGUGCUCAGGGAAAAGUACCGCCCUCUAUCCUUGUCGAGGCAACCAUUAC